AUACGGAGGAUGCGAGCGUUAUCCGGAUUUAUUGGGUUUAAAGGGAGCGUAGGCGGGAGCUUAAGUCAGCGGUUAAAUGGUGCGGCUCAACCGUGCCCUGCCGUUGAAACUGGGUUUCUUGAGAGUGCAAGAGGCGGAUGGAAUUCAUGGUGUAGCGGUGAAAUGCUUAGAUAUCACUCAGAACACCGAUUGCGAAGGCAUCUGACGAACUGCCCACUGACGCUGAGGCACGAAAGCGUGGGGAUCAAACAGGAUUAGAUACCCUGGUAGUCCACGCAGUAAACGAUGAUGACUAACUGCCGGCCCGUUGCGGGUCGGUGGCCAAGCGAAAGCGAUAAGUCAUCCACCUGGGGAGUACGACCGCAAGGUUGAAACUCAAAUGAAUUGACGGGG
rnacentral:rRNA from 1 species